rnacentral:rRNA from 1 species
GCAGUCUGCAACUCGACUGCACGAAGCUGGAAUCGCUAGUAAUCGCGGAUCAGCACGCCGCGGUGAAUACGUUCCCGGGCCUUGUACACACCGCCCGUCACACCAUGGAAGUCUGCAAUGCCCGAAGCCGGUGGCCUAACCACUUAUGUGGAAGGAGCCGUCUAAGGCAGGGCAGAUGACUGGGUGAAGUCGUAACAAGGUAUC